GACGAACGCUGGCGGCGUGCUUAACACAUGCAAGUCGAACGGAAAGGCCCCUUUGGGGGUACUCGAGUGGCGAACGGGUGAGUAACACGUGAGUAACCUGCCCUUGACUUCGGGAUAACUUCAGGAAACUGGGGCUAAUACCGGAUAGGAAUCCUUGCUGCAUGGUGGGGGUUGGAAAGCUUCGGCGGGUUUGGAUGGACUCGCGGCUUAUCAGCUUGUUGGUGGGGUAGUGGCUUACCAAGGCUUUGACGGGUAGCCGGCCUGAGAGGGCGACCGGCCACAUUGGGACUGAGGUACGGCCCAGACUCCUACGGGGGGCAGCAGUGGGGAAUAUUGCACAAUGGGCGGGAGCCUGAUGCAGCAACGCCGCGUGCGGGAUGACGGCCUUCGGGUUGUAAACCGCUUUCAGCAGGGGCGAAGCUUGUGGUGACGGUACCUGCAGAAGAAGCACCGGCUAACUACGUG
rnacentral:rRNA from 1 species